rnacentral:rRNA from 1 species
CCUACGGGGGGCAGCAGUGGGGAAUAUUGCACAAUGGGCGCAAGCCUGAUGCAGCCAUGCCGCGUGUGUGAAGAAGGCCUUCGGGUUGUAAAGCACUUUCAGCGGGGAGGAAGGCGUUAAGGUUAAUAACCUUGGCGAUUGACGUUACCCGCAGAAGAAGCACCGGCUAACUCCGUGCCAGCAGCCGCGGUAAUACGGAGGGUGCAAGCGUUAAUCGGAAUUACUGGGCGUAAAGCGCACGCAGGCGGUCUGUCAAGUCGGAUGUGAAAUCCCCGGGCUCAACCUGGGAACUGCAUUCGAAACUGGCAGGCUAGAGUCUUGUAGAGGGGGGUAGAAUUCCAGGUGUAGCGGUGAAAUGCGUAGAGAUCUGGAGGAAUACCGGUGGCGAAGGCGGCCCCCUGGACAAAGACUGACGCUCAGGUGCGAAAGCGUGGGGAGCAAACAGGAUUAGAUACCCAGUAGUC